GGCCUUGACAUACUAAGAACUUUCCAGAGAUGGAUUGGUGCCUUAGGGAACUUAGAUACAGGUGCUGCAUGGCUGUCGUCAGCUCGUGUCGUGAGAUGUUGGGUUAAGUCCCGCAACGAGCGCAACCUUUUCCUUAUUUGCCAGCGGGUCAUGCCGGGAACUUUAAGGAUACUGCCAGUGACAAACUGGAGGAAGGCGGGGACGACGUCAAGUCAUCAUGGCCCUUACGGCCAGGGCUACACACGUGCUACAAUGGUCGGUACAAAGGGUUGCUACCUCGCGAGAGGAUGCUAAUCUCAAAAAGCCGAUCGUAGUCCGGAUCGCAGUCUGCAACUCGACUGCGUGAAGUCGGAAUCGCUAGUAAUCGCGGAUCAGAAUGCCGCGGUGAAUACGUUCCCGGGCCUUGUACACACCGCCCGUCACACCAUGGGAGUUUGUUGCACCAGAAGUAGGUAGUCUAACCGCAAGGAGGACGCUUACCACGGUGUGGCCGAUGACUGGGGUGAAGUCGUAACAAGGUAAGCGUAGAUGA
rnacentral:rRNA from 1 species